UCGGACAUGGUGUACGGUACACGGCCUCUCGUUAUAUCCACGCUUCGAUUUCCAGAGGUAGAUCGGGGUUCGACUCCCCGUGUCCGAA